rnacentral:lncRNA from 1 species
UGGAACUCUCUAAUUUUCUUUUUUGUGACGAGGCUGGAGUUCUAGGUUGGGGGAGGAAGACCGCAGAGGCAGAGGACCAUUGUCACCGCAUCACACCCGGGGAUGUGACAUCAGGCACACAAGGAACCUUUGGCAGCCUCCCCACUGCAGAAGUCCCCCUGCCAUGUGUCCUUUGGAGGGAGCUGCAGACAAGGGGGAGGAGCUGCGUUACAGUGGAAAUGAAAGAUUCGGCCACAUGCACAUGGAGCAAAGGGCCUCCAGUGAUUCUGUUCUCUGCAGUUCCAUUACUGCGGCACCACUGUGACACAAGGACGGGGCACACAUGUCCUCUUCCUCGUGGUUACACAAAUACAGCUGCACACACAGAGGCACAAAACUCUCUGAAGAGAAGUGCGCCACAGAGAACAGCAGUGGAGAACCUAUCCUGAUGGGAUCCAACAGCGUGAGACAACUCACAGCAGGAAAGAAAGUGGGAGAACCAAGGCCCCUGUGCUCACCUUUCACGGUAUCUAAAUGCCCAGCCAGAAGAAAAGAAAGACAGAGCGCUGAGCCUCAGAGCCCAUGCUGGCUGCAGUGCCCAGAAAGCGUUUGUCAUCCAUACUGACUCUGGCGGGAAUGCACUCCUAUGUGAACAGGGGGUCUUCCCCAGGCGCUGCUCCCCACUGCACUCACUCAUUCCAGCAGCAAGUUGAGGCUGCUGAAUAACACAUUUGCAUGAUGCAGCUGCACCCACCGGCGGGGCACCAGCUGCCUCUUCCCUGUCUUUCAGGGUGGCGGCUCCUGAACCUUUACAUGCUGAAAGGUGUAUUUGCUUAUAAAUUGCAUUCCUUUCAAAUGACCUUUCUAUUACAGCUAGGGCAUAAAGCUGACUCCUGAUUAACUAUGUGUGUGGGUAGGUUAUAUCAUUUCACGUCAGGAGUUUAGCAGGUGGGUCCCUGACUAAUGGCCCUGCACAAGAGCCCGGAUGGAGGGGGUUACUGGACCCCACAGAAGGGGCCUGACUGGAAGGCAGGAAGCAGAAGCCAGUCCUGCUCAUGUGGCCAGAAAGAACCUCGAGGAGCAGCACCAGGGGUGCAUGCAGAACAAAGGUGGAUUUUGCAUGACUGCACGUGUGCUGGUCAGGGCUUUCCCGAGAGACACAGCCAAGCGUGUGUGCAGGUGCGCAUGUGAAGAGACCUGCUGUAAAGAACUGCUGCUGUGAGUAUGGAGGCUGACAACCCCCACGAUUCUGCAGUGCUGGAGACCCCCAGAGCUGGUGGAGUCAGCUUCGGUCUCAGAGCAGAACUGCUUGAAACCCCAAAGCAGCUGACGUUCUGGUUCAGAUCCAAAGCCAUGAAAAAACCACUGUUCCAGCUCUAGGCCAUCAUCAGAGGGCUUUUUUCAAGCUGGCGGGAAGACCAGGGUUUGUUCUCUUCAGGCCUGCUCUGCUUAGGAGGGUCCAACCUGCUCCAGGUAGAGUGAUCUGCUUUACCAUGUCCACCCAUUCCAAUCCCAUCCCCCACACAGAUGCCACAUUUUACAAAUGCCCCAGCACCUAUGGCCAAGUCAAGUUGACACGUGAAACUAACCAUGGUGACGCAUAAAGCUCAAGUCACAGAACAUGCCUACGGGGGAGAAAGUUUGUCUUACAAAGCUCUGUGCAGCUUAGCAGAAUGGCACACCCUCUGCUGCACCCUCUAGGAAGGUGCUUUUUAAGUUAGGCUUUGCCCAAAAUUCCCCUAGUGUUGCAGGAAUCAAGAAGGCCAAGCAAAGCUUUUCUUCCUAACAUGGAUCCGAUGUCUUGCGUUUGCUGCCAGGACGAGCACAUUCAGAAUCCCACGUGUUCCACUGAAAUUAGUGAAGGACUGAGUCAGAGUUUGUCCACCAAAAUUAACAGUU